CAAUGCAUUUCUUACGCACACUCAAUGCGCACACUUACAGACACACACCUUGCAUCCCUUAUACAUACAAACACAGAUUCACACACUGCAUCCCUCACAAACAACCAGAAACACACAUCCCUUAUACACAAACAGACAUUGCUUCCACUACACACAAACACACUGCAUCACCUACACAAACUGGUAUCCCUAUACACUACAUUCCAUAAGCACACACAUUAGAUCC